rnacentral:rRNA from 1 species
AUUGAACGCUGGCGGCAGGCUUAACACAUGCAAGUCGAGCGGAGCGAGGGUGCUUGCACCUUAGCUUAGCGGCGGACGGGUGAGUAAUGCUUAGGAAUCUGCCUAUUAGUGGGGGACAACAUUCCGAAAGGAAUGCUAAUACCGCAUACGCCCUACGGGGGAAAGCAGGGGAUCUUCGGACCUUGCGCUACUAGAUGAGCCUAAGUCGGAUUUAGCUAGUUGGUGGGGUAAAGGCCUACCAAGGCGACGAUCUGUAGCGGGUCUGAGAGGAUGAUCCGCCACGCUGGGACUGAGACACGGCCCAGACUCCUACGGGAGGCAGCAGUGGGGAAUAUUGGACAAUGGGCGGAAGCCUGAUCCAGCCAUGCCGCGUGCGUGAAGAAGGCCUUUUGGUUGUAAAGCACUUUAAGCGAGGAGGAGGCUACUGGUACUAAUACUACUGGAUAGUGGACGUUACUCGCAGAAUAAGCACCGGCUAACUCUGUGCCAGCAGCCGCCGUAAAAC